rnacentral:rRNA from 1 species
AUUGAACGCUGGCGGCAGGCCUAACACAUGCAAGUCGAACGGUAACAGGAAGCAGCUUGCUGCUUCGCUGACGAGUGGCGGACCGGUGAGUAAUGUCUGGGAAACUGCCUGAUGGAGGGGGAUAACUACUGGAAACGGUAGCUAAUACCGCAUAACGUCGCAAGAACAAAGAGGGGGACCUUCGGGCCUCUUGCCAUCGGAUGCGCCCAGAUGGGAUUAGCUAGUAGGUGGGGUAACGGCUCACCUAGGCGACGAUACAUAGCUAGUCUGAGAGGAGGACGAGGCACACUUGAACUGCGACACGGUCCAGACUCCCACGGGCGGCAGCGGUGGGGGAUAUUGUACAAUAGGCGCAAGCCUGUUGCAGCCAUGCCGCGUGUAUGAAGAAGGGCUUCGGAUUGUAAAGUACUUUCAGCGGGGAGGAAGGCGAUAGUGUUAAUAACCUUGCCGAUUGACGUUACCCGCAGAAGAAGCACCGGCUAAUUCCGUGCCAGCCGCCGCAGUAA